AAUCUUUGACCUCUUAAUGAGAAUAUAUUUAAAUCUUUAAACUCAGUGUUCCUUAAUUUUUUUUUCUUUUCAGGUAACUUAUCAAGAUGGAUAUCAGGCGCCAGAAGAUGUGUUCAACUGAUAAAGAUUCAACUUGGAAAGGGAUCUACUUACUUCCUGAUAAUAUGCAACAAAACAGAUACAAGGGCUCUGCCUCUGCUGACGUCCUGAAGGGUUCUGUGCUCCUUCUUGCUGAUGCGUCAUUUCAGAUGAAAGCUGUUAGAAAUCGACAUUCAGGUCAGGGUACUUCACCUCGACAGGACACACAGUCUUUCUUCUUGUGCCCCAUCAUGUUGCAGAGGCAAUGAUAUUCUAUACAUCUGAUGUCCAGUAAGGAAUUUUAGUAAAAGAGCUUUUGACAAUUUCAGUCACU
ensembl:lincRNA